rnacentral:tRNA from 1 species
GCCUUCGUAGUGUAAUGGUAGUACACUUGGUACGCGUUCAGGAGGUCCAAGUUAGAGUCUCGGCGAAGGCA